GUCCAGGGAUGGGAAUCGAACCCACACUGUUCCGCUUACCGGGCAGAUGUCAUGUCCACUAGGCUACCCUGGA